rnacentral:rRNA from 1 species
UGGGGAAUAUUGCACAAUGGGCGCAAGCCUGAUGCAGCCAUGCCGCGUGUAUGAAGAAGGCCUUCGGGUUGUAAAGUACUUUCAGCGGGGAGGAAGGGAGUAAAGUUAAUACCUUUGCUCAUUGACGUUACCCGCAGAAGAAGCACCGGCUAACUCCGUGCCAGCAGCCGCGGUAAUACGGAGGGUGCAAGCGUUAAUCGGAGUUACUGGGCGUAAAGCGCACGCAGGCGGUUUGUUAAGUCAGAUGUGAAAUCCCCGGGCUCAACCUGGGAACUGCAUCUGAGACUGGGAAGCUUGAGUCUCGGAGAGGGGGUAGAAUUCCAGGUGUAGCGAUGAAAUGCGUAGGGGUCUGGAGGAAUACCGGUGGCGAAGGCGGCCCCCUGGACGAAGACUGACGCUCAGGAGCGAAAGCGUGGGGAGCAAACAGG